ensembl:snRNA U1 U1 spliceosomal RNA
GGACUUACCUGGAAGGGAAGACACCAUGAUCUCUAAGGGCUUUUCCCAGGGCGAGGCUCAUCCAUUGCUCUGAGGAUCUGCUGAGCCCUGAGAUUGCCCCAGGGGGAAACACUGGGUGCAAAAUUUGUGGUGGUGGAGGGUUGCUGUUGUGCUUUCCCUGA